CCCAACUUGCUUUGGCCAAUGGCAUGUUAGUAUAUGUGAUGUGAAUAGGCCUUCAAUAUGUUCACACAGUUUGGGCUUGGCUGCAGUGCUCUGCCACCUGCAUGAGUGAAGCAUGCACCGGGUAGCCGCUUCCCUUAAGCCUCAGCCCCUCAAAAAGACACAUAUAUAGCAGACCUGAACCCAAACCACUCCUAGAAGGAAGAUCACCUAGUCCACAGUAGGAAGCAGAGCCAUUCAGCUGAGCCCUUCACAGAUCAGCCAAACCACAAUUAACCUGAUGACCUGUGACCAAGAAAAGUGUAUGCCUAUUAUAAAAGCUGAGCUUGAGGGUGGUUUGUUAAAGCAAUACCUGAUGACACCAAUAGGCAGACUUAGGGUAGUGUGGUUAAGAGUGCAGACUAUAAGGCUUAACUCUUUAGGUCAAAUCUGUACCAUUUAUUAGCUACAUAUCCUUGUGCAAGUUAUUUAAACCACAACUGGUUUUCCCAUUCAUAAAAUGGGAUAAUAAUACAUAUCUUAUAAUAGUACCUAAUGGUAAUAAUAAUAGUACCUAAAUGGGAUAAUAAUGCAUAUCUUAUAAUAGUGCCUAAUGGUCAUAAUAAUAGUACCUAAUGGUAAUAAUAGCAGUGCCUAUAAAUACUUAAUAUUUAUAAAGUGCUUGGUACAGUGCCUGGCACAUAGGAGCUCCUGUAAUAGUGUAUAUGGGAUGUAUAUAUAUAUAUACAAACAUUAUCAACCCAUAAAUGUGUCAACAAAGUACCCACAUCAAGAACAUUAUACUUUCUAUACUGGUUGCUGCUGCAAGAGGAUGCUUGAAUCUCUGGAGACAUUCUUCCCGUAAUUAGGAGUCUCUGCUGAGGCUUCCUUCUGAUGAGUCGAAUGACCUGGAUUUGAAUUCUUAUUCCACCAUCUAAGACCCAGGACACUGUGCCAGACACCAGGUCAUAAUUCCCUCCUCGGGAAAUGGGGACUCUAACAGUUCUUAGCUCUGUUAUAUAAAACAUUUCAAUACAACCAUGCUUAUACAUACUUCAUAAAUGUUAACUCUUCUUAAUUUGGGCAAAUAAGUUUAAGAACAACCAUAUCUCCUUUAGCUUGUUAAGAAGCGGAUUGUAACUUCAAAGUGUUGUUUGCCUAAAUUCACCAAAAGAUAACCUUCUCUGACCUACCUAAGGCAGACUAUAUUUUUUAAAAGAGCACUUAAAACCAACAAAAAUAAGCCUGAAGCAAUUUCUCUCCUUUACUAUCACAAAUUUUUUUUAGCUUUUAUUUUCAUUUUGUUCUGAUAUAUCAGUAUAAUACAAAUCAUGGAAAUCAUAAAAUGAUUCCCGUUAUUAUGUCUGUGUUAUCAUCCCUUUAUUUUUAUGUAAAUAAUGUUGUCUCCACUUUCUAUUUACUAACAAUAUUUCUAGCAUUAAUCAAAAAGAGCCCUCAGAUCACAUUCAACUCAAUAGCAAUUUAAUUUAAAAGGUAAGAGAUGUGGAUUAUAUGCAAUACUAAGCCACAAUGUGUGUAUCUUUUACAUGAAAAUAACCUUAAUUUCCCUGCUUGACUGAGAAAAGAAAUAAAAAGAAUGAUUGCUAUAAAUCAGGAAAAAUUCAUAACUUGCUGGAGGUGUAACAGCUGUUGAUUUAAGGUUUGCAUCUUUGAUAAUAUGAUGCUGCUGGGAAGAUAACAUCUUUUUGACAAAGCUGUGAACAUAAAAAUUACAAGGCUUUACACAAUAUUUAAAUAUUUCCUGUGUAUCACAGAAAAAAAAAUUAUUUACUUAUACUAAAAUGUGUUUGAAGUAUACUGUACCUCAUCAGCAAGCUUUAUAAUAAAAUUCAGUGUUUCUCUGUUUCAUAGGUGUACAGUAGACUUGUCACAUCAAAAAUUAAAAGUACUUAAAUUAGCCUCAGUUUACAGAAAUGGUCUGCUAUUAUUAUGUAUAGAUAGUUCCUGCCACUGGUAACACAAGCACAAAAUUGAGCGAACGCUUGGGAUAUUACUCAUUUCUUUUAUUAUCAGCUAGAGGUAGGUGAUUGAAAAACUAGGUGACAAAACAAAGCAAGUAUUGCAUUGACUAGGAAAAAAUAUCUGCAAAGUGGAAUCUUGAAAAUGAGUAAAAGAGAAUAACUUUGCCAUGCAGUUAGAAACAAUAGCAGUGUUUUUACUUAUCUAAAGGUUGCUGUGUUAUUGCAUGCGUUCUUGCACUGUUGACUCACAAACUAUGAAAUUUUAUGCUGAGCUUUUGUGUUUCUCAUGUAUCAGAACUGAGAACAUCAUCAGGGAAGUGCCAAGAAUGACACGAGUAAUGGCCUUGUCUCCUUACUCUUCAACAAACCUCAAUGUGCUUCCUUUCUUCUGUGAAUUGUACUUAGAGAGUCAUAUGGGAUUCUUAUUUUUUUUUUUCUUUAAAUGCUUCUCUUACUUAAGACUACCUUGCAUUGUCAUAGAAACUCAUGUAUAACCCAGCCUGCAGUCAUCAAAGUCACUUUUUUGUUUGAAUAUUCCGUAAACUGAUUUGAUUGCCCAUGCCAUAUGUUUGGAGAAAUCCAAAUCCUUCCUUUUCCCCUGGAGAAUUGGGGUAGAGUUGCUUACCAUUCUUGUGCACACAUCUCCCUUUCAAUUUUACUCUGAAUUCCUGCUCUUGCUUAAUUCUUGGUCCCUGCCAGUUGUUUCUCCCCUGGAGCUACCGUCUUCUCUCUGUACUGAUUUAUCCCAAGUUGGACUCUAUUCCUGACUCCUUGUACAAAGCACCAUUACCUGAGGUUGUGUAUACAAUAGUGUUAUUGGAGGCUUCAGGAGAACAUAAAACAGCUUAGAGUUGAAUGUUGAACAUCACUGUUCACUUAUUUAUUCAUUUGACUAAUAUUUUUUAAAUAUCUACCAUGGGCAGGUACUCGUCAAGAUCAUGGAGACACACCCAUGAACAAAAUAUUUUUUAAACCUUGGUUUUAUAGACCUUGUAUGCCAGUUAUGGAAGAAAGUUAAAAUAAGUAAAAUGUAUGUCACAGAAUGGUUUUGUCAC
rnacentral:lncRNA from 1 species